AAAAAUUGAGAUAUGACUGACAUAUAACACUGUUUGUUUUAGGUGUACAACAUAGUGACUCAAUAUUUGUAUGUAUAUACUGAGAAAUGAGCACCAAAAUAAGUCCAGUUAACAUCCAUCACCACACAUCGUUACAAAUUUAUUUUUUCUGCAACACAGGAUCUGAGCCAUGUCUGUGACCCAUACCACAGCUCACGGCAAUGCCGGAUCCUGAACCUACACAGCAAGGCCAGGGAUCAAACACGCAACCUCAUGGUUAUUAGUUAGAUUCGUUUCUGCUGCGCCACAAUGGGAACUCCUAUUUUUUCUUAUUUUGAAGACUUUUAAAAUCUACUCUCUUAGCAACUUACAAAUAUAAAAUACAGUAUUAUUAACUAUAGUCACUAGGCUUUACUAAAUAAAAUCUGAAAUCUUAAGAUUACUAAAUAAAAACUGCAUCUUAAAAAUUAGGAAGAGGGAUCUUAGAAACAUUUAGCCCAAUGCCUCUCAAACUUUAACGUGUGAGUCCCCAAGGACAUUCUAAUAAAAUUCAGACUGUGAAUCUAUAAGUGUGGAGUGGGCCUGAGAUUCUGAAUUCUAACAAGCUCUAGGUGAUGAUGAUGCUGCCGGUCCAGGAACCAUGCACCAGGUACCAAGGCUCCAGUCAAGCCUAAUGGAGAUCCCCUAGCUUCUGCUAGGGAAUCUCUAGUGACCAGGAGCUGAAACCUCCACCAGGAGACAUGGCAGAGAUCUGACUUGUGGAGCAACAAAGAAAGUUGGCUUCCUCUUCUAAUGAUGGAAGAUAUCCUUUAUUUUCCUAUAGCUCCUCUUCUCCAAGCUAAACUUCCCUACUUCUAUGGGAAGUAGAAGUGGCCAGUUUCCAGAUCCCUAUACAUCUUGAUCACAGAGGAUGCUCCCUCCAUGAUCAACAUCUUCCUUUCAAAAGUCCCUCGGGAUGGGGGUGGGUAGUAUUCCAUACAUGGGACAGCCAGGCCCGUGACUAGGUGAGCAAGAGCAUUGUAUUACCCCAUCUAAAUGGGACAGCUCGCUUAACUGCUCUACGGAAGUGUCACCUUCUUUAAUAACCAAAGACCACACUGCACUGGCAGAUCACAAUCUUGUAGAGAAAUUGGUACCAAGCAGGUGUGCAAAUUCUGUACUCAGUUUUUUUUUUAACCCAAAUGUAGGAAUUUACAUUUAUUCCCAUUAAAUGUCAUCUUGCUACUUUGGGCUUGGCAUUUUCUGAGGUAAUUUUAAAAUAACAGAUCAAAUCAGAAAUAUUUUCAGAAAAUAACAACUCACAAAAUCCAUUUGAAAAUUUACUAUCUAAUAUGCAGUAUGUAUACACAUAUACAUAAAAACACAUAUGGUUAAAAAUAAUUAUGAAAAAGAACAUCCUUGGGACCACCGUUUGAGCUGGAAAGUAAAACAACUGUCUGGACCUUGGAAGUUCUAGAGUCCUUUCCCCACCACGUACCACUCCAUUGCCUCUGGAGGUAACCCCUAUACUGAUUUUUUUUUUUUUUUUUGGUCUUUUGCCUUUUCUAUGGCCACACCCUUGGCAUAAGGAAGUUCCCAGGCUAGGGGUCGAAUAGGAGCUGUAGCCGCCGGCCUACACCACAGCCACAGCAACAUGGGAUCCGAGCCACAUCUGCAACCUACACCACAGCUCACAGCAACGCCAGAUCCUUGACCCCACUAAGCGAGGCCAGGGAUUGAGCCUGAGAUCUCAUGGUUCCUAGUCACGAGGGGAACUCCUAUUGUUUUGGUUUUUUUUGUCUUUUGUAUACUGAUUUCGUGUGUGUGUGUGUGUGUGUGUGUGUGUGUGUGGUAAUCAUUCUCUCAAUUUUCUGUAUUGCUUUAAUAUUUAUAUAUACAGCCCUAAACUAUAAUAGGGAAGAACAAAUCUGACUCCAUAUGGGAUCUUUUACUUUAACCUUUGUAUCCUAUUGCUUCUGCUACAAGUUCAUGAAAGGGAGGUUGCCUAUCAGCUUAAAUUAUACAUAACGACCCAACUCUGGAAACUCUGCCUCUCAGGUUAUCAGUGUUAAACUAAAAUACCUUUGUUUAGCUCACAAGAAACAUCCCCACCAGGCCCAACUAUGAAUGACUGCAGGCAGGAAGAAAUUAACACAGUCCCUCCAGAGGCUGACCAGAACCAGGAAAUGCUUGACUUUGCUCUCAGCCAUUUUAGUACAAAAAGAAGCCUGAAUUCUAACUUGGGUAUGAAGGUACUUUGGGACACUAGUCUGCCAUCUUCUGGGUCCAUGGGCUUUCUGAAUAAAGUUGCUAUUCCUUGCCCCAAAAAGUCAUCUCUUGAUUUUCUGGCCUGUCAAGCAGUGAGCAGAGUGAGCGAUGGGAACUUGGUCUCGGUAACAAGCCAUAUACUUAGUUCUGCAUACUUGCGAAUUUUCAUAAAUGGAGUCAUUUGUGUACCUAGUCUUCUGUGUCUUGUUUCUUUCAUUCAACAUUGUGAUUUUAGGAUUCAUCCAUAUUGAUGCAUGCAUUUUUGGUUGCUUAACAAACACCUUCCUCAACAUACAGAUGAGGAAAACGGAUGGACAGUGAAGUUAAGAAACGUGCCCAAGGUCACAAAAAUAAGUGGUAGAACCUAAUUUUGAACACGAGCAGAAUCUUUGCUCUUAACCACCAAGCAGGUGGCCUCUCCACACCCUCCCAUAGGUGAUGUUAUUAGCUCAUGCGUCACUGCCAAAUAGUUAUUCCAGUGUGUAAAUACAGCAAAAUGUGUUGAUUCAAUACAAUGUUGAUGAGUAUUUGGGUUGUUUCCAGUGUUUGCUCUCACAAACAAUGUUUCUUUAUACAUUCCUGUCCCUGUUUCUUGAAGCACAUGAGUAAGAUUUUUUUUCCUAAAGGUAUAUCCAGGAGUAAGAUUGUGGGGUUGUAAAUUAGUAGCAAGGUGAACUAUGUUCAGUAAUAAACUAUUUUCCAGUGGAAUUGUAUCAAAUUAUACUCCUACCCACCCCAUACAAGAACUUCCAUUCAUCCACAUCCUCACCAACACCAGCUAUGUCAGAUUUUUAAAUGUCUGCCAAUCCAGAGACUUAUGUAUACUAUGUCACUACAAUUUUACUUUGCAUACAUUUGAUCAUUAAACUAGCCAUUUGGGUUUCUUUUGUGAAGUGCUUGCUUACAUAUGUGAAGGUACAGCAUCAUGUUUCUAUUGUGCUGUCCAUAGCUUUUCUUAUCGAUUCAUGUGUUCUUCCCAUAUGCUGGACCAGUACCAUAUUUGUCCUAUAAAUAUCGUCCACCACUUUGGGCUUGUUUUCUUACGCUUCAUGUUUUAAUGAACAUAAGUUCUAGUCCCAUUUUUUUUUCAAACCAUUAAAAGUAAAGGCCUCUUCAUACAUUUUAAACUUCUUGUACUAUUAUAGAAGGAUUUCCCAGGUCUGCACUUAGAAUCCUUUAUAGCCCUCCAUUAAUUAUGUCUUAAGAAGGUCUAAUUUGGGAAGUGUCAAGAAUGGGACAGUGUACUGACAAUGACAGAUAUGGAACAAUAAAGUUGAUGAACCUGACAUCUAUAAAAUCUUGAAAGGUACCAGCUAGGGAAUUAAGGAGCAUUUCAGCAAAUCCCACAGUAUUUUGAGGAUAUAAACAAAUCCAACUUCUCCUUUUGAAGGCUCUGCUGUCCUUCAAUCUUUGCCAGUUCUCUUUCCUCCCAACUCCUUUCUCCCACUUUCCUUUACUACUCAUCCUGUCCCUUGAUCACGUACUGCUGGGUGCUGUCCUUCAAAUACUUCAUGCUUAUACGUAUCAUCUCCAAGAUGAAACUCCAACUUCCCCACAGACUGGGAUCAGGCUGUACAGGGGGACUGUAUUCCACAUACCACAUCCUGAGCCCAACAGAGUCUCCUGCAAAGAGCAAGCCCCUCACUAAGUCAUUCUUGAUUUGUGCAAGGAGUAAUUUUAGGGCGAAUUCAAAGGACUUCAGGGUCAACAUACAUAACUCAUCCAUUAGGAAACUCCACGGAAUAAAAACAUAAAUUCAUUCGAGAGAUAGUGAGUCAAAGUUUAGUGAGAAGAAAACAUUGGUGAAAAUAUAUACCUGAAACGGUAGGGUGGGAACAGGUUAUAAGGAGGGCUGUGCCAAGGGGUUUAAAGGCUGUGCCAAGGAAUUUGGCUUUCCCGAACAUUUAACUUGGGCUUGCCUGGUGAGAGCCUGACCUGACCCACUUCUCCCUGUGCAAGAGAAUGAGUGUUUAAUGAGCAGCCCUUUAGG
rnacentral:lncRNA from 1 species